CCUACGGGUGGCUGCAGUGGGGGAUAUUGGACAAUGGGCGAAAGCCUGAUCCAGCCAUGCCGCGUGUGUGAAGAAGGCCUUCGGGUUGUAAAGCACUUUCAGUGGGGAAGAAAGCCUUGGGGCUAAUACCCUCGAGGAAGGACAUCACCCACAGAAGAAGCACCGGCUAACUCCGUGCCAGCAGCCGCGGUAAUACGGAGGGUGCGAGCGUUAAUCGGAAUUACUGGGCGUAAAGCGCGCGUAGGCGGUCUGAUAAGCCGGUUGUGAAAGCCCCGGGCUCAACCUGGGAACGGCAUCCGGAACUGUCAGGCUAGAGUGCAGGAGAGGAAGGUAGAAUUCCCGGUGUAGCGGUGAAAUGCGUAGAGAUCGGGAGGAAUACCAGUGGCGAAGGCGGCCUUCUGGACUGACACUGACGCUGAGGUGCGAAAGCGUGGGUAGCAAACAGGAUUAGAUACCCUAGUAGUC
rnacentral:rRNA from 1 species